CUGACGAGUCCCAAAUAGGACGAAACGCGCGUC
rfam:Schistosoma rodhaini strain Burundi genome assembly, scaffold: SROB_scaffold0000258